UAUUUAAAUUUUCUUUUUUGUCAUCUAAAUCAACAUAUUUAACAUACUUUUUGACUUGGUAGUAUGCGUGUAGCACAAACACUUACACUUACACGUCGGUUAAAUAAAAAAAACUUUCAAUCUACAUAGAAAUCUUUUAGUCCGCAUAGAAAAUGACUAAUAUGAAUAGAGAAAACUCAUUUUUCAUUGUUCAUCUAGACAAGUCCUCCAUCACCCCUCCCCUCUUUCCCCUUUCCUCUUCUCCUAGUAGCUCAGAUCCUCCAUGAUUUUCACCUUCUCUUUCAAACUCAGUUGAAGGGCAUUUUAUAUUUGAUUUUCAUUUUUGGAUUUGAAGACCUUUCUGAGGACACAUGGAGAAGAUUUGAAGGCAAUUCGGGAAGCGAUGACCCUUAUUAUGAUAGCUCAGAUUCUGACAGUAUUAGCGAAGAAAAAGGGGAUCUUAUUGAGAAAGAUGAAGUGGUAGAUCCGUUACCUAGGAAUACAAGUAUUGAGAUCUAUUUUGACCCAAUUGCUUGAAAAAUUUUAUUUUCAAUUUUAUAUAAUUUUUUGAUUCAUAUUGAGUUUAGGGAGACACUGUAAGUUUACUCUAUUAAAAAAGGUGUGAAUAUUAGGUUGAAAUCUAAUAACAAGAAAAUGAUAAGGGUAAAGUGUAAAAAAAAUGAAUUGUCCGUGUCUUAUUCUUGAGAGUAUUGAUGAUAACACGGAAAACUUUAUUGUGAAGACAUAUUUAUCUUUCUACAGUUGUUAUAUUAGAAUAAUAAAUAAAUUCUAUAUCAAAUAUGGAUUAGUAAAAUUUACAAGAAAAGGAUUAUGGGUGAACCUAUCAUCAAACUACAUUAUAUUCAAUCUUUGUUAAGAAAGUAGUAAGGUUUGUAUGCCGUAAGACAAUUUGUAGAAAGGCAAAAAAGAGAAUUAUGCAUGCACAUUUGGAUGAUUUUUAGAGAGGAAUUUUCUAGGGAGUAUGACUAUGCUGAAGAGUUAAAUACCACAAAUUCAAAAAUUACUAUAUCUAUUAGGAUAUCCAAGAGACAAAUUUCAAGAAAAAGAAUUAUUUAUGGACAUCUGUAUUUUGUCUUGAUUUCUUAAAAAAAUGGAUGAAAAGAAUUGUGUAGAAGAAUUAAUUUAGAUGGUGUAUUUCUUAAGAGUGUAUGCACUGUUAUCUUGCAUUUUCAAAGAUGAAAAUAAUCAGAUAUAUCGUAUAGUAUGAGCAGUAGUUGAUAAAGAGACUAAGGACACACGACCUUCGUUUCUCAAGUGCAUCAAACAUGAUUUGGAGCUUACAGAAACUGAAGGUUAAGGACUAAUAUUGAAAUAUGAUAUGUCGAAGAUACUACUAAAUUAUUUGUUAAAUUUAUUUUUCAACUUUCUAUAAUAAUAGAUAUUUAACAAUUUUGUAUGUCUAAUGUUCUUUAUUUGACAUCCAUUUUCAAGUAGCACUUAUUGAAUUAUUUUCAAAUAUUGCAAUUAGAUGGUGUGCUAUGGAUAUACAGACAAACGGAAAGAAAGAA